rnacentral:rRNA from 1 species
ACUCGAGUGGCGAACGGGUGAGUAACACGUGGGUGAUCUGCCUUGCACUUCGGGAUAAGCUUGGGAAACUGGGUCUAAUACCAGAUAGGACCAUGCUUUGGAUGGUGUGGUGGAAAGUUUUUCGGUGUGGGAUGAGCUUGCGGCCUAUCAGCUUGUUGGUGGGGUAAUGGCCUACCAAGGCGUCGACGGGUAGCCGGCCUGAGAGGGUGUACGGCCACAUUGGGACUGAGAUACGGCCCAG